rnacentral:rRNA from 1 species
CCUACGGGUGGCAGCAGUAGGGAAUAUUGGUCAAUGGGGGAAACCCUGAAGCAGCAACGCCGCGUGGAGGAUGAAGGUUCUCGGAUUGUAAAAUCCCUUUGUCCGGGAAGCAAAUGCCGGUAUCUGACGAAUAAGCACCGGCUAACUCCGUGCCAGCAGCCGCGGUAAUACGGAGGGUGCAAGCGUUACUCGGAAUCACUGGGCGUAAAGAGCGCGUAGGCGGGAUAGCAAGUCAGAUGUGAAAUCCUAUGGCUUAACCAUAGAACUGCAGUUGAAACUGGUGGUCUAGAGUAUGGGAGAGGUAGGUGGAAUGCUUGGUGUAGGGGUAAAAUGCGUAGAGAUCAAGAGGAAUACUGAUUGCGAAGGCGACCUGCUAGAGCAUAACUGACGCUGAUGCACGAAAGCGUGGGGAGCAAACAGGAUUAGAUACCCUUGUAGUC